CAGAAAUCACCUGCCUUCUGCAUUGUUCUCCCUGGGAGCUGCAGACAGGAGCUGUUCCUAUUUGGCCAUCUUGCCUGGGAAUCCUCAUGUUGUUUCUUAAAGGAGAAGACCUAGUAAUAAAAACAGAAAUGCCUUUUAAAUAUUUUAACAAUGAUGGUUGAUAGAAAAGGUGAGGCUACACGGAACGGGGAGCUGGCUACAAAUCAAGAAGCGGGCCCUCACCAGACACUGCAUCUGCUGCCACCUUGAUCUUCAACUUCCCAGCUUCUAGACUGUGAGAAAUACAUAUGUGUUGUUUAAACUGCACCAUUUAUGGUAGUUUACUAUGGAAGCCAAAACUAAGAUAAAUAUGUUGAGUCACCCGUCGAUGAUGUGGACUGGCUGAUGGUGCUAAGAAUCUACCUCUCAAAAAGCUUUUACUCCUAACCUCCCAAGUAAAGACAUGCUAUUUUCAAGUUCUUUGUUUGGGUAUUUCAGGGAAGAUUACUCUCUUUACUGCCUUAGAGAUUCCCCUUUUUCAGAUCACCAGCGGCAUCAUGUUUUUCCUACUCUGCUAUACUUCUGAGCCUCUCACUGUUUGAUGGGCGGACCCAGUCCAUGAGACUGCCCUUGUCUUAGGCUGGACAGAGCCAUGCUUUCCAUGUGACAGUGUAUCAUGUAGACCAAGCAGUAUGUCGACACUUACCUGAGGUUCAGGUGUUUCCAUGGAAGCUAGGGCCACUCAUUCAGGUUACAUGCUUAAGGACAACAGGUGCAGUCUCUUGAUAUGUAGUCUUAUUACGAUCUUCCUACCACAAUCUCAUCCCCUAUCCAAGUCCCCUUAUCUCUCACGGACCACACAACUUUAAUUCUGCUUCCCAGACAACUAUGAGGAAAAGUUUAAGCUGUUAAAAAAAAGGAGUUGAGCUGCUGUAUCUUUGUAUUGAAAUAUAAACAAUUCAAAACUCAAACAGGAAAAAAAAGUUUUUUCUUUAUAUUUUGUAAUUGAUUAAUUCUGGGAAGGGAGCAAGCAUUAUUCAGUGUAAAAGGAGAUGUUCCACCUGUGCCUCCAAUAUUUCUCUACUUGUGGCUUUUGUGAUCUGUAAAUCCCAUCCCUCCUAGAUAAGCCAUAACUCUUUUGCUGCCCCAUCUCCAAGAUCCUAGAAGAAACUAAUCUGAUACAAUUGUAAACUUAAAUGUAUAUGUCCUUGGAGUACAGUGUAACCCAGAUAUAAAAUAUCCUUAUGAUUUUCUAAACUCCAAAAUACCACCCAGAGCAAGACAUAAAUAAUGAAAUUUAAGUGAGAAUAUUGCUCAGAUAUUUAUCUUGAGUGGUUACCUGGGCGCGUGCUCUCUCUCUCUCUCAUUGUUUUAAGUAUUUUUUUUUUCUGGUUGCAUAAUACAGAGUCAUGUAUUAACAAAAUGUCAAAUUGCCACAGGUUUUGGAAUCUUGUAGUAGCUUGUUGGCAAAGAGAUACAGCAGAGAGGCUACUGUGUUUUCAUUGUAAAAAGGAU
rnacentral:lncRNA from 1 species